ACUGGUUCAUUAACCUGUUCUUGAACUUCAUUUAGUUCUUGAACUUCAACUGGUGAAGAUGGUAAUUUCCUUGGCAACUUCAAAACAUCAAAUAAAGGUUCUUCAACUUGGGUCUCAAGAUCUUCAUAUUGAGUUGAUUCAUUAGUUUCUUGAUCUUCAUCAAGUUCUAUCUCUCCAUUAUAAUUUCCUUCCAAAAGAA
rnacentral:lncRNA from 1 species